AGAGUUUGAUCCUGGCUCAGAUGAACGCUAGCGGCAAGCCUAACACAUGCAAGUCGAACGGUAACUUUUGGUGCUUGCACCGAAAGACGAGUGGCGAACGGGUGCGUAACGCGUAUGCAAUCUGCCUUUUACUAGGGUAUAGCCCAGAGAAAUUUGGAUUAAUCCCCCAUAAUAUCAUUUUUUCGCAUGAUUAAAUGAUUAAAGCUUCGGCGGUAAAAGAUGAGCAUGCGUCCUAUUAGUUUGUAGGUGAGGUAACGGCUCACCUAGACUACGAUAGGUAGGGGCCCUGAGAGGGGGACCCCCCACACUGGUACUGAGACACGGACCAGACUCCUACGGGAGGCAGCAGUGAGGAAUAUUGGACAAUGGACGAAAGUCUGAUCCAGCUAUGCCGCGUGCAGGAUGACGGCCCUACGGGUUGUAAACUGCUUUUAUACAGGAAGAAACACCCCGACGUGUCGGGGCUUGACGGUACUGUAAGAAUAAGGAUCGGCUAACUCCGUGCCAGCAGCCGCGGUAAUACGGAGGAUUCGAGCGUUAUCCGGAAUCAUUGGGUUUAAAGGGUCCGCAGGCGGUUUUUUAAGUCAGAGGUGAAAUCCUGCAGCUCAACUGUAGAAUUGCCUUUGAUACUGAAAGACUUGAGUUAUUGUGAAGUGGUUAGAAUGUGUGGUGUAGCGGUGAAAUGCAUAGAUAUCACACAGAAUACCGAUUGCGAAGGCAGAUCACUAACAAUAUACUGACGCUCAGGGACGAAAGCGUGGGUAGCGAACAGGAUUAGAUACCCUGGUAGUCCACGCCGUAAACGAUGGAUACUAGCUGUAUGUCUACCUCAGGUAGAUGUGUGGCCAAGCGAAAGUGAUAAGUAU
rnacentral:rRNA from 1 species